GAGCUAAUACAUGCUAACACGCUCGACUUCUGGAAGGGAUGUAUUUAUUAGAUUAAAGCCAAUGCGUUUCACGACGCUUCUUGGUGAUUCAUAAUAACUGUUCGAAUCGCAUGGCCUCGAGCCGGCGAUGUUUCAUUCGAGUUUCUGCCCUAUCAACUUUCGAUGGUAAGGUAUUGGCUUACCAUGGUGACAACGAGUAACGGAGAAUUAGGGUUCGAUUCCGGAGAGGGAGCCUGAGAAACGGCUACCACAUCUAAGGAAGGCAGCAGGCUCGAAAAUUACCCAAUCCCAAUUCGGGGAGGUAGUGACAAGAAAUAACGAUACGGGGUCUUAAUAGGUCUCGCAAUUGGAAUGAGUACAAUUUAAAUCCUUUAACGAGGAUCAAUUGGAGGGCAAGUCUGGUGCCAGCAGCCGCGGUAAUUCCAGCUCCAAUAGCGUAUAUUAAAGUUGUUGCAGUUAUAAAGCUCGUAGUUGGAUUUCGGAGUGGGCCAGUUGGUCCGCCGCAAGGUGUGUUACUGACUGGUUUGCUCUUCUUCGCAAAGACUGCGUGUGCUCUUUGUUGAGUGUGCGUAGGAUUUACGACGUUUACUUUGAAAAAAUUAGAGUGUUCAAAGCAGGCUAUUGCUUGAAUACAUGAGCAUGGAAUAAUGGAAUAGGACUUUGGUCCCAUUUUGUUGGUUUCUAGGACCGAAGUAAUGAUUAAGAGGGACAAUUGGGGGCAUCCGUAUUUCGUUGUCAGAGGUGAAAUUCUUGGAUUUACGAAAGACAAACUACA
rnacentral:rRNA from 1 species